CCGCCGGCGACCGGCGCACGGGUGAGUAACACGUAUGCAACCUGGCCGUGACAGAUGGAUAACCGGGAGAAAUCCCGCCUAAUACAACAUAAUGCCGGGAGGGGACAUCCCCUGCCGGCCAAAGGGGGCGACCCCGGUCACGGAUGGGCAUGCGGCGCAUUAGGUAGUUGGUGGGGCAACGGCCCACCAAGCCGACGAUGCGUAGGGGUUCUGAGAGGAAGGUCCCCCACAUUGGAACUGAGACACGGUCCAAACUCCUACGGGAGGCAGCAG
rnacentral:rRNA from 1 species